rnacentral:rRNA from 1 species
CAGUCACCACGGUAAUACGUAGGUCCCGAGCGUUGUCCGGAUUUAUUGGGCGUAAAGCGAGCGCAGGCGGUUAGAUAAGUCUGAAGUUAAAGGCUGUGGCUUAACCAUAGUACGCUUUGGAAACUGUUUAACUUGAGUGCAAGAGGGGAGAGUGGAAUUCCAUGUGUAGCGGUGAAAUGCGUAGAUAUAUGGAGGAACACCGGUGGCGAAAGCGGCUCUCUGGCUUGUAACUGACGCUGAGGCUCGAAAGCGUGGGGAGCAAACAGGAUUAGAUACCCGUGUAGUCCCUGUCUCUUAUACA